rnacentral:rRNA from 1 species
CCUACGGGAGGCAGCAGUAAGGAAUAUUGGACAAUGGGCGAAAGCCUGAUCCAGCCAUGCCGCGUGAAGGAUUAAGGCCCUCUGGGUUGUAAACUUCUUUUAUAGGGGACGAAAAAAGGGAAUUCUUUCCCUCCUGACGGUACCCUAUGAAUAAGCACCGGCUAACUCCGUGCCAGCAGCCGCGGUAAUACGGAGGGUGCAAGCGUUAUCCGGAUUCACUGGGUUUAAAGGGUGCGUAGGCGGGUAGGUAAGUCAGUGGUGAAAUCUCGAAGCUUAACUUCGAAACUGCCAUUGAUACUAUUUAUCUUGAAUAUUGUGGAGGUUUGCGGAAUAUGUCAUGUAGCGGUGAAAUGCUUAGAUAUGACAUAGAACACCUAUUGCGAAGGCAGCAGGCUACGCAUAUAUUGACGCUGAGGCACGAAAGCGUGGGGGAUCAAACAGGAUUAGAUACCCUGGUAGUCCACGCCCUAAACCGAUGAUUACUCGACAUUUGUGAUACACUAUAAGUGUUNUGAGNGAAGACAUUAAGUAAUACCACCGUACGGAAGGUACGACCGCGAGGUUAGUAACGUACAAGAAGUAGUAGACGUGUGAGACGCGACCGACGACGACCGACGGGAGGGAGGAGG